GUUGGUGUUUUGACGCAGUGGGUACACCCGAUCUCAUUCCGAACUCGGAAGUUAAGCACUGUCGUACCGAUGGUACUCGUAAGGGGAGAGUAGGUAGACGCCAACA
rnacentral:rRNA from 1 species